rnacentral:rRNA from 1 species
CAGCCGCCGCGGUAAUACGUAGGGUGCGAGCGUUAAUCGGAUUUACUGGGCGUAAAGCGUGCGCAGGCGGCCCGUUAAGACAGGCGUGAAAUCCCUGGGCUCAACCUAGGAAUUGCGCUUGUGACUGGCGGGCUCGAGUACGGUAGAGGGGGGUGGAAUUCCUGGUGUAGCAGUGAAAUGCGUAGAGAUCAGGAGGAACACCGAUGGCGAAGGCAGCCCCCUGGGCCUGUACUGACGCUCAUGCACGAAAGCGUGGGGAGCAAACAGGAUUAGAAACCCUGGUAGUCCACGCCCUAAACGAUGGGUGCUAGCCGUUUGGUGCGCGAUAGCGCUGAGUGCCGAAGCUAACGCGAGAAGUGCCCCGCCUGGGGAGUACGGCCGCAAGGUUGAAACUUAAAGGAAUUGGCGGG